AGUGAACGCUGGCGGUAGGCCUAACACAUGCAAGUCGAACGGCAGCACAGUAAGAGCUUGCUCUUACGGGUGGCGAGUGGCGGACGGGUGAGGAAUACAUCGGAAUCUACUUUUUCGUGGGGGAUAACGUAGGGAAACUUACGCUAAUACCGCAUACGACCUACGGGUGAAAGCAGGGGAUCUUCGGACCUUGCGCGAUUGAAUGAGCCGAUGUCGGAUUAGCUAGUUGGCGGGGUAAAGGCCCACCAAGGCGACGAUCCGUAGCUGGUCUGAGAGGAUGGUCAGCCACACUGGAACUGAGACACGGUCCAGACUCCUACGGGAGGGAGCAGUGGGGAAUAUUGGACAAUGGGCGCAAGCCUGAUCCAGCCAUACCGCGUGGGUGAAGAAGGCCUUCGGGUUGUGAAGCCCUUUUGUUGGGAAAGAAAAGCAGCAGGUUAAUACCCCGCUGUUCUGACGGUACCCAAAGAAUAAGCACCGGCUAACUUCGUG
rnacentral:rRNA from 1 species